CAGGGGGUAGUUUAAUAAAAAUAUUAAUUUUGGAGAUUAAUGAUAAAAGUUGCAUUUUCCCCCUGA
rnacentral:tRNA from 1 species